AUCAUAAUGUUUUCUUUAGAUUUUUAAUUUGUAUUUUUUUGAAGGUGGGAUCAAAAGCUGGCAGAAAGAAUAGGAAAAAGCUUGAGUACAAUCAUUGUUCAGGAUCUCGGUCAUUUGUUGCAACAAUGACUAUACCGAAUUCUAUAAGAAAACUCAUACCAAGAAGAACAAAGAGUGGAUUGAUCCUAUUUG